AUGACACCACUGCUUAAAAGACCAGGCUGCUUUAUAUGGUAUCCUGCAAUGACACAGACCUCCCUCUGCGGCUACUUCUCAACAUCAAAGGAAGCCAAAACCAGCCUUGCCCACGACAAGAUAAACACUUUAAUACUCAGCACAGCCACGGCUCUUGCCAGAGCUCAUUUGUUCCUGGAUACGGUCAUUACACAGAAAGCUUCCCAAGGCUUAAAAGAACUUAUUAUAGCACAGAGGAAAACAACUGCAUCAAAACCGAUAGAUGAGCACAGCCCGGAGUCGCCCAACAAACCUGCUGGACUUGCUUCUCAGCUCCCAAACUGCUUUUCAACUCACUCCCCCAACAGGUUUUCUGGCCACAGGGACAGGGGACGUGCUGCAGGUGCAGGCCAAAUGAGGCUGAAUAUAGAGAAAGUCAGUCCCAGGCCAGACGGGAGAACCCUGGCAAUGGUUUUUGCCUCUUCAGAUACGCCAAGAUGGGACAAAAGAAGUUGAAAUAGCCUCCACAAAAGAGGUGGGGGGACAACCUUCAAAAAAAACUCAUAGAAGGGAAAGGAAAAGCACUUGGGUGAACUGAAAACCUGAGGGUAAAGUGCUGACACCCAGGAGCUCACAGGUUUUUUUUAUCACAGCAAACAGGAAAGGCAGAAUCAGCCCAUUGCUUCAUCUGGUGGGACCUGCCACCGCUACGCAGCGUCAAAGGGUGGUUUCUGGCUCCAGGCAGCCAGGAUUUGAAUUCCCAGACUCUUGUCAAGUCAGCUACAGACACUGCUUCUCCUGCACAGGCUGCCACGACGUGUGCUGGAGAUCCCAAAGAUACCCCAGAGCUUUGCAGAAGACUAGAAUUGUGCUGGUGAAGCUUUUCAAACAGCCUGCACCAGGAUUCGGUGGAAAAACCUACCCCUCAGCUCCCUAAACAACCGCUUCCUCCACGUCGUGGUACCUUUCAGCUUGUGCUCGAGCAAGUUCAACCCAUAUUUUCUUUUUAAAAAAAUGAGGAACCUGGGUUUUUCAGUCAGCAAAACAAGCUGCCCUCCCCUCCAGGCGCUGUCAGAUGACU
rnacentral:lncRNA from 1 species